UGCCUACGGGACGCAGCAGUGGGGGAUAUUGCACAAUGGGGGAAACCCUGAUGCAGCGACGCCGCGUGAGCGAAGAAGUAUUUCGGUAUGUAAAGCUCUAUCAGCAGGGAAGAAAAUGACGGUACCUGACUAAGAAGCCCCGGCUAAAUACGUGCCAGCAGCCGCGGUAAUACGUAUGGGGCAAGCGUUAUCCGGAUUUACUGGGUGUAAAGGGAGCGCAGGCGGCUUGGCAAGUCUGAUGUGAAAGG
rnacentral:rRNA from 1 species